UGUGCGCCAGCGUGGAAUCUGCAGUGGGCGCGCGACAGCUGUGGGAUGCCGCCUGCGUGUCAGGGUUGUUUGUCCUUUUGCUCAAAUCAGUUUGAUGCAGGGGCGCGGGGAAUUCUAGACCCUUCCAAAAAGUCCUACUCUGUGCUUUGCCUGGGUUAAGUACACUGACAGUUGAGAUACUUUUGCUUCUAGAAGUCUGCACGAGGUACAAAGGAAAUGCGACCAACCUGGGGCUGGAGGUAGCUGCCAAGCUCUAUGUGUAUUCAUGAGACAAAAAUGGCCUCUGUUGCAAGGAGAUUGAGAUGGGUGCAGCAGCCUUGUCACCCCCAUGAGAUGGAUACUGCCCACCGCCGCGUGCACCAGGGGGCUGUGUAGGAUAAAAGCCUCAACCCCCCAGAACUGGAGCUUGAGAAUCGAUGUGAAUGGAGUGUGCCCUUUAGUCUGAUACUGAAUAGCCCUGAAAACCUGCCAAACUACAUAACUCCAGGCUAAAGUCAAGUUAUAUUGAAGGAAAGCACUGUUACUGACUGCUCCCUGAAGAUACAUAAGUGUCUGGCCUGAGUUGGAAGCCUGAGUCCAGAGGCAGGAGCUGUUCUUUGAAGGAAAUCUGGGCCUGUGCCAUGCAGGUAGGAAGCUGUUUCUGGAAAGAACCGCAGCUUCUCAGCUCACUUGCAAUGGAUAUGUAUCAGUUAUCGUGCUUAUAGUACAGUGCUAUCUAAUAGAAAUAUAAUGUGAAUGUUAUAUGUAUUUAAACGUCACUGGAAUUUUUCUACCAGCCACAUUUUACAAAGCAAAGAGAAAAGAGUGAAAUUAAUUUUAAUAAUAUGGUUUAACUCAAUAUAUCCAAAAUACUGUCAUUUUGACGUGAAUCAAUAAAAUAAUU